rnacentral:misc_RNA from 1 species
GGCAUGCAGAGGGACCUCAG